rnacentral:rRNA from 1 species
CACGCCGUAAACGGUGGGUACUAGGUGUGGGGGACAUUCCACGUUCUCUGUGCCGUAGCUAACGCAUUAAGUACCCCGCCUGGGGAGUACGGCCGCAAGGCUAAAACUCAAAGGAAUUGACGGGGCCCCGCACAAGCGGCGGAGCAUGCGGAUUAAUUCGAUGCAACGCGAAGAACCUUACCUGGGUUUGACAUAUACCGGAAACGUCUAGAGAUAGGCGCCCCGCAAGGUCGGUAUACAGGUGG